CUUUCUCUCGACACCGUAGAACACAGAUCUAGGUUUUCUCACUCUUCGCCGGCUCUCUCGCCGGAGUAAUCAGGGAUGGUGUGAGUGAGUCUUAGUAUAAUCAAGUUCAGUUUCAGAUCAAAUUAUGAAGAAGUUAAGGAGUUGAUGGUUCCAACAUCCAACAGUAGUGAGUGAGAAGUGUUUGCCGUGAAAGGUUAUCUUUUGGAUUUUUUAGUUUGUGAGCUCUUGUAAAAAACUUUUGGAGUUAUGUACGAUUUUGAUAUUGAGAUUUUUGUAGUUUUGU